rnacentral:rRNA from 1 species
ACGAACGCUGGCGGCGUGCUUAACACAUGCAAGUCGAACGGAAAGGCCCUGCUUUUGUGGGGUGCUCGAGUGGCGAACGGGUGAGUAACACGUGAGUAACCUGCCCUUGACCUUGGGAUAACUUCAGGAAACUGGGGCUAAUACCGGAUAGGAGCUCCUGCUGCAUGGUGGGGGUUGGAAAGUUUCGGCGGUUGGGGAUGGACUCGCGGCUUAUCAGCUUGUUGGUGGGGCAGUGGCUUACCAAGGCUUUGACGGGUAGCCGGCCUGGGAGGGUGACCGGCCACAUUGGGACUGAGAUACGGCCCAGACUCCUACGGGAGGCAGCAGUGGGGAAUAUUGCACAAUGGGCGGAAGCCUGAUGCAGCAACGCCGCGUGCGGGAUGACGGCCUUCGGGUUGUAAACCGCUUUCGCCUGUGACGAAGCGUGAGUGACGGUAAUGGGUAAAGAAGCACCGGCUAACUACGUG